GACGAACGCUGGCGGCGUGCCUAAUACAUGCAAGUCGAGCGAAGUUUUUCUGGUGCUUGCACUAGAAAAACUUAGCGGCGAACGGGUGAGUAACACGUAAAGAACCUGCCUCAUAGACUGGGACAACUAUUGGAAACGAUAGCUAAUACCGGAUAACAGUAUUUCUCGCAUGAGAGAUAUUUAAAAGUUGGUUAUGCUAACACUAUGAGAUGGCUUUGCGGUGCAUUAGCUAGUUGGUGGGGUAAAGGCCCACCAAGGCGACGAUGCAUAGCCGACCUGAGAGGGUGAUCGGCCACCCUGGGACUGAGACACGGCCCAGACUCCUACGGGAGGCAGCAGUAGGGAAUCUUCCGCAAUGGGCGAAAGCCUGACGGGGCAACGCCGCGUGAGUGAAGAAGGAUGUCGGUUCGUAAAGCUCUGUUGUUAGGGAAGAAUGGAUAUGUAGUAACUAUACAUGUAAGAGACGGUACCUAACCAGAAAGCCACGGCUAACUACG
rnacentral:rRNA from 1 species